GUAGCGGCAUGAAAAAGCACCUAUCCCAUACAGAAUAUACAACUUUCAGAAGCUGAGCGAAACAACAUCUUUCCUUUGCAAUAAUUCCUCUGAAAAGGUACGGAUAGGUGCUUUUUCACGGAAAUCUAUCCGGUACAGAGUAAACGCAGCUAGCCUAAACAAUAAUGUUAAUAUCUCAUGCAACCUACAUGUCUCCUACAUUUUUGACAAAAUACAUGCCUCGUACUGUACACUUUUGAAGUUGAUCAUCAUCUGCUGUCAUUACUGAAUAACUGUUUCUAUUUCUUGUUUAGCAUAUUUAUUCAAUUGUUUUCAAAUUUGUGGAAUGUAUGGAUGCAUAAAUACGUGUA
rnacentral:lncRNA from 1 species